rnacentral:rRNA from 1 species
AGACCCGAAACCCGGUGAUCUAGCCAUGGGCAGGUUGAAGGUUGGGUAACACUAACUGGAGGACCGAACCGACUAAUGUUGAAAAAUUAGCGGAUGACCUGUGGCUGGGGGUGAAAGGCCAAUCAAACCGGGAGAUAGCUGGUUCUCCCCGAAAGCUAUUUAGGUAGCGCCUCGUGAAUUCAUCUCCGGGGGUAGAGCACUGUUUCGGCUAGGGGGUCAUCCCGACUUACCAACCCGAUGCAAACUGCGAAUACCGGAGAAUGUUAUCACGGGAGACACACGGCGGGUGCUAACGUCCGUCGUGAAGAGGGAAACAACCCAGACCGCCAGCUAAGGUCCCAAAGUCAUGGUUAAGUGGGAAACGAUGUGGGAAGGCCCAGACAGCCAGGAUGUUGGCUUAGAAGCAGCCAUCAUUUAAAGAAAGCGUAAUAGCUCACUGGUCGAGUCGGCCUGCGCGGAAGAUGUAACGGGGCUAAACCAUGCACCGAAGCUGCGG